GUAGGUGGCAAGCGUUGUCCGGAAUUAUUGGGCGUAAAGCGCGCGCAGGCGGUUCUUUAAGUCUGAUGUGAAAGCCCACGGCUCAACCGUGGAGGGUCAUUGGAAACUGGAGAACUUGAGUACAGAAGAGGAAAGCGGAAUUCCACGUGUAGCGGUGAAAUGCGUAGAGAUGUGGAGGAACACCAGUGGCGAAGGCGGCUUUCUGGUCUGUAACUGACGCUGAGGCGCGAAAGCGUGGGGGAGCAAACAGGAUUAGAUACCCUGGUAGUCCACGCCGUAAACGAUGAGUGCUAAGUGUUAGGGGGUUUACCCGCCCCUUAGUGCUGCAGCUAACGCAUUAAGCACUCCGCCUGGGAGUACGGCGCAGGCUG
rnacentral:rRNA from 1 species